CGGUUUUUGGAACAUCAGGGAACAUAAAACAACUUAAGGUAUCUCUCCAGCUCGCAGCAGGAGAGUCAUAGAGAUCAGAGUUAGAGUUAUACUUAAUCGCUUUGGUUUUUUCACGGCUAUAGAACCUUUUCCUCGCUUCUGGAUCUUGCGCGUGAAACGCACGGAUCCCUUCUUUUAUCUUCUCCAUGACCUCGAGAGGAAUCCCAUGGUUAAUCGCCUGGAAAAAACCGAACUUCUCCAUAGCGUCUUUAACCUUCUCAGUCACUUCCUUUCUUGUGACCGUGGACUCGAACACGCCACCUCGGAGAUCUAUCGUAGGGAUAGUCAACGUAGAAGGAGGUUUAGGGUUAGUUACCGUGGCUUGCGGGUUAUGGAAUAUGCGUGGGAUUUUUGUGAUUCCGGCGUCGACGAGACCCUUCACCCCGAUUUUCAUCUCGUCGAAUGCUUUUACCUCAUCCGCACGGUCAAAUGUUCCCGCCAUUGUGCACUUUGACUCCAACUUUUUUUUUCUGAGUGUUUUAUGAAACAGAGAAACUUGUGUUGUGUUUUGAGUCACGUAGCUCUGUCUCUAUAUAUAAGGAGGGAAAACUGGUGAAGGCAUGAAAUGGAGGGGAAAGAGAAGGAGAUAUAUUGAGAUACCGUCAGUAUUCUUAAUGUCAUAAAAUAUUAUCAAUUUUAUAUCAUAUUAUUAAAGUUAUUAUCAUGUCAUCGAGAUGUGUAUCUUUUAGGUUAUGAACGGAAACCAUAGUGCGGUGCAUAUUUGGAAUUGAUAUCGUUUUGAAGUUAUAAAUGUCAGCAACCAUAGUGCGGUGCAUAUUUGGAAUUGAUGUGAUUUUAAAAAUAUAAAUGUCAGCAGUAACAAGUAAAAAUGCAAUCUCAAGAAUGUUUUUUACAAAGUAAUGCAGUCACAAAAUAUUUUUGUCUGUUUAUUUCAUCCGAAUAACGCAACUUUCACACACUAUUACUUGUUAGCUAGUGUGGUACAGUGCUGUAUGUAUGUAUUUACUUAUAAUUAACUAUAAAAUAUUAUUAAAUUUAUAAAUAUUUUGAUUUUUGAUAAAAUCAUACAUGAUAAUUUUCAGUUAUGUAACUAUUCAAAACUAGUUAACUUAAAAGAUAAAAACAAUCAAGUUAUUAACUUAUUUUUAUAUUUUUCAUUUUUAACACUAAAAAAACUUAUUUUCAGAACAAUAAUCAAAUAGACAUAAUAACUGUAAUAUUUUUAUGAUAUUAACAUACUUUAAACAUGUAAUAUAUUUUAUGUCAUUUUUAUAUUUAGCAAUGAGAUUUUAACAUGGGUGAAUUUGCUAGAUAUUCAUAAGAGGAGUUAAAAUAAAAAAUAUAGCCAUCGCAACUGUAGCCUUGGUGGAUGGGACAAUUUACACACAAAUGAGACCGGUUUUUUCUUUAGAGCGCGUUUUAUGUUAAUUAACACGCGGCAAUAAACUCUGCCCAUGUGUGCUUUAUAGAUGUAUAGUCAAUCUCUUAAUUAGUUUAUUCUAUAAUCGUCUCUAAUAUAGUAAUGUGGUGAUAUAUUGUGAUGGUCGCUUAAUUUGACUGCAUGAAGAAUAUAAGCAUUUUAGGAGAUGAACUUGUUGUCUUUGAGAAAGACACAAUAAAUAUUAAUGUCAAAGCGCCAUCUAAAUCGUUACCUACUAAUGAGAGUAAAAGAAAGUGGGCAAGAAAGGAAAAUUUAAAACCUAAUGAAAUAAAGAUUUCAUACUUGUAAAUGUUGGUUAAAGUGAAGAUGAACAAAGAAAACAAUGUGUAACCGGUGAAGCAAACAAAUAUGGGAGGCAUACAGAGUUUAGUAGACCAGUUAAUGUUAAGCGACAUAGUAGAAAAUACAACAUAAAGAAUACAGUUACAACAUUUCUCGAAGCCAUUGCGGUUGAGAUGCCAACGGUGCAAGUUGUGCAAGGUUGAAGGUUGAGAACGCUUCCACUGUAUACAAACACUCCGGCAAUCCUAACUCCUCCAUCAUAGACAUGGAAAGAAAAUAUUCAAGUCAGUACAAAGGCAUAUACAAGUAAAAACGCUAGACAUUUGUUUACCACUAUAUUAUACAAAAACACUGAAGCAAGACAUGUGAUAUAAAAUAUAAUAUACCAUUAACACAUAUGGAAUAUAGUAAGACUAUCUACUAUACAACAUACUUUCAAAACAAGACGCAACCAUAUGGUGUAAAAUAUAAUACGAACAGUUUACAUAUGUUGUAAGCGAAGAAUUAACGCCAUUAAUCACAGGGAUACAUGAGGAUUUGUAUAGGGCAGUCUAUGUUUGUAGAUUGAACUAUUUCAUCUUAACCUUGUAACUAAACUAUUAUAAUCUCUAGAUUAUUCUAGUCAUAUUACUUCAUACAUCACUUUCUCCCACACCCGAUCCCAGAAACUCAUGUUGGACAACAGACGAAGACAACACAGAUAUAGACAAGGAGAGCUCCAAGGACCCAAAUAAGAAAAUCAUAACUGAGUUUGGAAAAGAAAAUAAUUCAUGUCACUUUACCUUUUUCAUUGCCCGCUGGGAACCCCUUUCAACCAGAUCUGAAAAAUUAACAGAGGUUCCUAUGUAAGUUUGUUUAAUACACGGCAGGAUGGCUUCGAGAUCAAUCAAACUGGACGUACCUUGAUUCGAUGUUUUUUGUUAGAAACUCGCGCCGCCGUGAAAUUAACCUAACUUUUCGUAGCCCACUUCUGUCGGUAUGACGCACACGUUGUCACAGAGUAAAAGUUUUGUGCUUCUCCAUCUCUGAUGCACACUUGAUCCCUCCAAAUCGUGUUCUUAGGGCGAAGCAACAGCAAAAAACUUCAGUUUCUAAGGUAAAUAUGAGUUAAGACACGUCUUUCAUUUCCACUCGCAGCAGGUAAGGGUAAUUUUGGCACUUUACAUGAUAUUAUAUAACAUAUCGUACCCUCUUAAUUGUUAUGUGCAUUGCGUUAAUUUUUUUUUUAUUAUGUACAUGAGUCCAAAUUUCCCUUUUAAUAUCAGAUUCUAAAAGCACUCGCAUCAGUGUUUUUUAGAAGAGUCUGUUGGUACAAAAAUUAAUAAAAAACUAAAGAGUAGGAGAGAGAAACAUCAAAAGGUAAAGAAUCUGUGCAAGAAAAGACUACACAAUUCUUAAGAAACUAUAGUAUCAAUGUGUCUUCUUUUAAUUUAUCUAACUUUAUUUUACACUUUAAAAAUAAUAAUAAGUCAAAUUAUUAAUAUAAUAAUAUGAGAGGCUUAGAUAAUGAUUGGUUGGGUUUUAACUUAGGAUUUUGGCUUUAUUUAUUUUUAAAGCACUAAUCAUAACUAGUUAUGAUGUAACUUUAUUUUUAAAGUUAAUGUCUUGCUAUAACGUCUAUAGCCUUUUUCUAUCUUUUUUUUUUUCUUAAAACAACUAUUACAGUGUUUUAGAAAUUGUAAUAUUUAUCUACAGCAGAAAAAAUAAAACUACAACCAUAAAAGCUACAUCAUAAAUUAUACAUCUACAAUUCUAUAUGUAUAGUUCAACCAAUCAUCUCAUUAGUUUUGAGAAAUCGACUACAAAUGAUGCUCUAAGGGCGCCCAGCAGAGACCCACUAAAAUCUCUCACACAAAACUAACUAUGAGCAAAAAAACAGUAACUAAUAGUAUAAUAGUAAACUGAGAAAUGGCACAUAGUUUGCUACAAUUCUAGCAUUUUCUUCACGAAGAGACGAUCCGUGUGCCUCUCUACUAUUUCUCUUUCCUUUUUCAUAUUCUUUUAUUAUUUAAUGUACAAAAAACAUUUUAAUCAAUUCUGAUAGUCUAAGAGAACCUCCAAUAAAGGUUUUUAAGACAAGUUUUUAAAAUUAAAAAUAAUUAAAAAUGUAAAGAAGUAAGAGAAGUGUCAAAUGAGUUCUAAACUCCUAUAUUUUUAGAACUUAUAAAAAUUCACACAUCCAUGUGCCACUUUUAUACUAGUUUAAUUUUAAAAUGGUAAAUAAAAAUAAUUACUUAAAUUAAUUGUAAUAAAAUAUUAAUGAUUUGUGUUUUUGAUAUUUAAUGGAAUUCUAAUUGUUGCGGAUGCUCUAAGAGCAUUAGCAUUAAUGGUAUCUGAUGUAGUAUCUUAGCGUAUAAUAAUGUAAGUAAGUGAGAGAUAUGGUAAAAGACGUCUCUCGAGAAGAAAUUCACCAAAAUCGAAGAGAAACUAUGUUGCUAGAUCCUAAAUCAACUUGCUUAACUUUCUUUCUUUUAAAAAUUAAUAGAACAAUAAAUGUAUAUUAUUACUGUGUUGGGAAAAUUCUACGUACCAAUGUUGUUGCUCUAAGUUUUCUAUUGAACUAGGAUAACUGGAUAAGAUCUUGCGCAAAGUGAGUUAAUUUGUAUAUAUUAUCAACAAUUUUUUUUAUAUAUUUGAUUAUUUUAUUUAAACAUAUAUGUAUAUAUUUUUGUUAUUAUUAUAUACUUUCUUUCUGAUUGACCGUGUCAAUUUUUAUUAAAAAUUGUAGAACUAAACUAUCAUUAAUAUAUCGUAGGUUGAUCAAAUUGGACAUUAAACAAAUUAUGACACAAAAACCUUAUUUUUUCCACCGAAUUCAUUCUUGAAAAAAGUGAACAGUGCUGUUUCCACAGUUGAAUUAUUUUGACAAUUAUCUUUUAUAUGGUUUUGAAAGAUUUCAGAUCAACCAUCGAACUAAUACAUGUCAUUUUAAUGUUUUUAGUCGUAUGCUUAAGAAAAACUUACAUUUUUUUAAUUUAAAGUCAUUUUAAAAAAAUCAAAAUAUAACAUAUAAGGUUACCUCAUUUUUGUAAUUUAAAGUCGUUUUUAAAAAUUUUAAAUAUAACAUAUAAUGUUUCCUCAUUUUUUUGUAAUUGAAAGUCAUUUUAAAAAAUUCAAAAUAUAACAUAUAAGCAAAUCUAUUUUUAAUAAUAUAAAAUUAAAAAAAAAUGAAAAAUGAUGCAAAAAUUGUUAUCAAAUCUGUAUUAUUCAUAGUCAUUAAUUACCAUAUAUAUUAAUCAUAUUAGAUAAUUUCGUAGCUUUUAUUUAAGGAAAAAAUACACGCUUCUUAUAUUUUGGGUUAAUAUAAAUGUUCCCUAGUAAUUAGAUUUCGACAAACAUUUUUUCCAAUUGAUUCUUAAGUUGUCACGUUAGCUAAAUUGACAUAUCAUAAUUAAGUGACAUCUAAGCAUAAUCUCUUUUUAAUUAGUACAAACUUAAGAUUACAACUUUUUAAAUGAUCAUCAAUUAAUAUAUAGAUGAUUACAUAGUAAUCAAUUUAGUAAUAAAAUCUUUGUAAUAUCUAACAAAAAUAAAUGUUAUUUAGGCGUAAGCAGGAACAACAAGAGAGUGAUAUAUAUCAAUAUUCUUUUUGAAAACUUCUCACAUGGUAAUAGAGGGGAUUAAAUAGACGGUCAUAUCUUAUUAGAUCAAACGUGAAAUAAACAUUUUAUUGGAAGUACAACAUGUAGUUUAUUCUUUUUCUCAAACGUAAAAACAAAACAUGUAGUAACUUCAGAAACCAUAUUGUGCAUGUGUGUGCACUAACGUUUUAUUGGAAACAAAAAGGAAACAACAACAGAGAUUCAGAUCAGGUUCACCCAUUUUGUUCAGAUCCUUAAAUGGCUCAACGAAUUGUUCCCAUCACGUUUUCUAGCGACAUAGUGGUUGGAAGCUUCUGAAGUGGUUUCCCUGUACUUGGGAGGGUUUUCUUCUGACAAAAGCUCUUUGAUGGGUCCAUAUACUCUCGGACUUGUUGAAGGAGGAUGCACAAAGAAAGAUGCAAUCGAAGUGCGCGGCUCUUCACCUCCAUUUGCCAAAACUCUAUGCUCCACACUCACAAACUUGUCGUUCGUUAUAAGCUGCAAAAAAAAAAAAAUGAUGACCAUAUUUUCUUCCAUAUAGACCAUUUGAUUAUAAGUGUAAACAACAACUUGCCUGUAGUAGAUCACCAACGUUAAGGAUAAGAGCAUUAGGAUUAGGAGGAACAUCGAUCCAGUAUCCAUCAUGGAGAACUUGAAGUCCUCCAAUAUGGUCUUGAAGAAGUAUAGUGAUGAAAGAUCUGUCUGUAUGCUGAGUGGCGCCGAGCGUUAGGUCUGGCUCAGGACACGGCGGGUAACAAUGACAGAGCAUCAACAAACCUUUUGCACAAUCCAUUUCUUUGAGGUGGUUAGGAUUCAGGCCUAAGGAUUCUGAUAUAAGCUCAAAGAUUAACUCCCCAAACAUCAUUACUCUCUUUGAGUAGUCCAACAUGAUCUCCCUAAAAAAUUCACAUAAAAUAAACUCUCAAAACCCAUCAAACAAAAACUAAUGAAGUUAGUAUUAAUUUAAAACAAGAGAAGCCGUGUUCGUACCUACAAAUGUCUGGUAAGUCAUCGGUUUUUGGAACAUCAGGGAACAUAAAACAACUUAAGGUAUCUCUCCAGCUCGCAGCAGGAGAGUCGUAGAGAUCAGAGUUAGAGUUAUACUUAAUCGCUUUGGUUUUUUCACGGCUAUAGAACCUUUUCCUCUUUUCUGGAUCUAGCGCGUGAAACGCACGGAUCCCAUCUUUCAUCUUCUCCAAGACCUCGAGUGGAAUCCCGUGGUUAAUCGCCUGGAAAAAACCGAACUUCUCCAUAGCGUCUUUAACCUUCUCAGUCACUUCCUUUCUUGUGACCGUGGACUCGAACACGCCACCUCGGAGAUCUAUCGUAGGGAUAGUCAACGUAGAAGGAGGUUUAGGGUUAGUUACCGUGGCUUGCGGGUUAUGGAAUAUGCGUGGGAUUUUUGUGAUUCCGGCGUCGACGAGACCCUUCACCCCGAUUUUCAUCUCGUCGAAUGCUUUUACCUCAUCCGCAC
rnacentral:lncRNA from 1 species